UAGUUCGGGAUAGCCACUGGAAACGGUGAUUAAUACCGGAUACUCCUUCUUGUUAUAAGACAAGUCGGGAAAGUUUUUCGCUAAGGGAUCAGUCUAUGUUCCAUCAGCUUGUUGGUGAGGUAAUGGCUCACCAAGGCUAUGACGGAUAUCUGGUUUGAGAGGAUGAUCAGACACACUGGAACUGAGACACGGUCCAGACUCCUACGGGAGGCAGCAGUGAGGAAUAUUGCACAAUGGAGGAAACUCUGAUGCAGCAACGCCGCGUGGAGGAUGACGCAUUUCGGUGUGUAAUCUCCUUUUAUUAGGGAAGAUAAUGACGGUACCUAAUGAAUAAGCACCGGCUAACUCCGUGCCAGCAGCCGCGGUAAUACGGAGGGUGCAAGCGUUACUCGGAAUCACUGGGCGUAAAGGGUGCGUAGGCUGGCUUUUAAGUCAGAUGUGAAAUCCAAUGGCUCAACCAUUGAACUGCAUUUGAAACUGAAAGCCUAGAGUUCAGAAGGGGCAGAUGGAAUUAGUGGUGUAGGGGUAAAAUCCGUAGAUAUCACUAGGAAUAUCAAAAGCGAAGGCGAUCUGCUGGGAUGAUACUGACGCUGA
rnacentral:rRNA from 1 species